rnacentral:rRNA from 1 species
UACGGAGGGUGCAAGCGUUGUCCGGAUUUAUUGGGUUUAAAGGGUGCGUAGGUGGGUCUUUAAGUGUGGUUGAAAGCAGGCGGCUUAACCGUCUGAUGUGGCUGGAAACUGGAGGUCUUGAAUGUGUUGGCGGUAGCCGGAACGGGUCAUGUAGCGGUGAAAUGCAUAGAUAUGACCCAGAACCCCGAUUGCGAAGGCAGGCUACUAGGGACAUGAUUGACACUGAGGCACGAGAGCAUGGGGGAGCGAACAGG